GUGCCAGCCGCCGCGGUAAUACAGAGGGUGCAAGCGUUAAUCGGAAUUACUGGGCGUAAAGCGCGCGUAGGCGGCUAAGUAAGUCGGGUGUGAAAGCCCCGGGCUCAACCUGGGAACUGCAUUCGAUACUGUUUGGCUAGAGUAUGAGAGAGGGAGGUAGAAUUCCACGUGUAGCGGUGAAAUGCGUAGAUAUGUGGAGGAAUACCGGUGGCGAAGGCGGCCUCCUGGCUCAAUACUGACGCUGAGGUGCGAAAGCGUGGGGAGCAAACAGGAUUAGAUACCCUAGUAGUCC
rnacentral:rRNA from 1 species